AUCGUUUCCGACUCUGGUCGCGUGGCAUCGCCGCACCGAUGGGUGGGACUGCCAGGCGCAAAUCUGGAAGGUGUAGCAGUGCGAGUCGGCUUUCCCAUGGUGCGUGCACGUCGCGGCCGCCGGUAGCUCUUUGGAUGAACGGGGCGACUGAAUUUUUUCGGCUCUUUGGAUGGAGGAGGGAGGGAGUAGAUCGAGGGUUAAGCAGCGACCAUGGCGUGUGGUCUACCACGUACGCCUCAUUUGCCGUGCGCAAGAGAAAUUGAGAAAAGAGAUGAGAAUAGCUGGAGACAUAGAUUUGGUUUGUGUGUUUACUGCUGCUGCCGCUGACUGCUAGCGCGCGUGUUUGCCUGCCAAUUGCAAAGCGCCUCAGGCCGGCAACCAGCGGGCCACGCCUCCAUCCAACGGCACCGCGUUCAGGUUUUUUUGACAUACGAAGUGGUGAUCCUAUUACUGCUUUGUUGACUUCUGUCAUGUCUUUGGAUACUUCACCGUUCAGAUCAUGUGGUGAUCUUGCUUAGCUUAUGUAAGUAAUUAGUCUGAGAUGUUUGAUUUAUUGA